rnacentral:rRNA from 1 species
AUGCUUCCUUGGAUGAUGUUCUUUAUAUGCAAGUGUGGUGAGCUCACAUAUCGUGUCGGUAUCUACCUAACGCAGCUGAGCUCUUUCUGGAUAGGACAGAGGUACAAUAUUUACAUCCAUGGCAGAAGGUUCUUAACCCUGAACUCAUCAAAGGUCCUUGGACUCGAGAAGUUUGGCACUGCACUCCUGACUUUGCUAAAAAAAAAACCUUCUGCACAUUUUAUAGUUAUAUUUAUGAUUAUGAUAUUUUUUCUACAGGAAGAUGACAAAAUUAUUGAUCUUGUAAGCAAGUAUGGACCAACAAAAUGGUCUCAUUGCAAGGACCUGCAGAAGGACCCUCCCACCUCAGCGCAGGUCCUGUAG